rnacentral:rRNA from 2 species
UACAUGGGGUGCAAACGUUGCUCGGAAUCAUUGGGCGUAAAGCGCGCGUAGGCGGUUACUUAUGUCGGAUGUGAAAGCCCUCGGCUUAACUGAGGAAGUGCAUUCGAAACUGGGUAGCUAGAGUACUAAAGAGGGUCGCGGAAUUCCCGGUGUAGAGGUGAAAUUCGUAGAUAUCGGGAGGAACACCGGUGGCGAAGGCGGCGACCUGGGUAGAUACUGACGCUGAGGCGCGAAAGCGUGGGGAGCAAACAGG